UGAGGGACUAAGACACUGUAAUACUUUCUCAGCUCAAAGCGAAGUGUGACCAGCUGCCUGGAGCAAACAGCAGGCAGGUACUCAAGGGACCAAGACAAUGUAAUAUUCCUUCGGUACAGAGCCAAGUGUGACCAGCUGCUUCAAAUAAACAGCAGGACAAUUUACCAUGGCUAAUCCAGCAAACCUACACAUCUUUGGACCAUGCAAAGAAACUAGAGCACCCAGAGGAAACCCAUGGAGACACGGGCAGAACGUGCAAACUGCACACAGAUAAUGAACCAAGGCUGGAAUUGAAUCUGUGUCUCUGGCACCACUAUGCCACCCUGACAUGGAUGGCAAUUGAUAAAAUCUUAUUCAUGUUGAGCAACAGAGAUUUGAAGUAAAUAGAGCUCCUGCAGUUUCUGCAAGUGUCAUGUUAAACAGAGACAAAUAUAUAAGUACACUCACUUAUUCACAGAACACAAACUGACAGGUACCGAUACUUUCAGGUACAGAUGCACUCAUCCAUUCAUAUAGUUGAAGCUGUCAGAUAUAGACUGAUGAUUGCACAAACACAUUCACAUUGCAGAAACUGACAUGUACAUUUUGAUAACACACCCAUAUUCCCAGAGCAAAA